rnacentral:rRNA from 1 species
GAUGAACGCUGGCGGCGUGCCUAAUACAUGCAAGUCGAGCGAACAGAUGAGGAGCUUGCUCCUCUGACGUUAGCGGCGGACGGGUGAGUAACACGUGGAUAACCUACCUAUAAGACUGGGAUAACUUCGGGAAACCGGAGCUAAUACCGGAUAAUAUAUUGAACCGCAUGGUUCAAUAGUGAAAGACGGUUUUGCUGUCACUUAUAGAUGGAUCCGCGCCGCAUUAGCUAGUUGGUAAGGUAACGGCUUACCAAGGCAACGAUGCGUAGCCGACCUGAGAGGGUGAUCGGCCACACUGGAACUGAGACACGUUCCAGACUCCGACGGGAGGCAGCAGUAGGGAAUCUUCCGCAAUGGGCGAAAGCCUGACGGAGCAACGCCGCGUGAGUGAUGAAGGUCUUCGGAUCGUAAAACUAUGUUAUUAGGGAAGAACAAAUGUGUAAGUACCUAUGCACGUCUUGACGGUACCGAAUCAGAAAGCCACGGCUAACUCCGUG